rnacentral:lncRNA from 1 species
AAAAAAGAAUCAAGACAAAGAUCUUCCAGUUGAGAUAAAUAGAGCUUGGAAAAUGCAUGUGGUGACAACAAAGAAGCAAAACCUAAAGGAAGUGAUAAAGAGACAUAGAGAAGAAAAGCAGCAUUGGCCCAUGGAAAAGAAACAAGUUAUCCAUGGAAAUGUGGAUUUUUUUUUUUCCUGGGGUUCUGUGAAGAAGAGUUGUACUUCAGACAGAGGAAGAAUAAUUAUAUUUGGAAGAGUAAUGACACCAGAUGGUUGCUGAUUGGCAUCCCCCUACACUUACAGGCAGCUCAGGCAUGCUAGGACCUUUCUUGARUUAUCACCAAGAUUUUGGAGUGAAUAAAGUACAGAGGUUAGUUCUGCCUCAAGUUCGUAAAAUGCAAGUUGUUGUAUUGGGACUGCUUGGUGGGGUAUGAGUGGUGAAUCUUCAGUGUGCUAAAGAUAUCUUCAUUUCAUGUAGCCCUGUGGAGUAUGAUUCCUCAAGUGAGUCCACAUCUGCAUUCUWGCACUGAGUGUACUUGUGUACUUUUUUUAUUAAUGCUUAAAAUGUGCCUGGCCAUAUUAUUUCUUUGCAAUGAUAGCACYGACUUUUUUGACCAAWACUGAAUAAGYAAACAUUAAAACUCUAUAGCUACYCAUGUUAAAUAUGAGGAAAGAAAAUGGAGUACUAGACUGAAUUACAAGCAACUGCUGGGUAGCCAGCCUUGCCUGAAACUUUUGUGGCCAAAUGCAGAAGUUUGUUUUAGAAAUUUACACUGACAGCAUGUGGAACCAUUUUACAAGUACAAUCACUCUGAACUUGCAUCUCUCUGCCUUAACUAUUUAUUAACCCUGUUGCUUGUUAGGAAUGAAGUAGGAAAUGCUGUGAUAGUCCAGUKUUAGGACAGCAGAAUACUUCUGCAAGAUGUACAUGUAUAGAUGCAGUGGAUGGAGAAAGUUAAACUCACUUUUUUCAUUGUAACAAGAGGGGAAUUAUUUCWGGCUAGAUCAUCAUGUUUUCUAGAAGACUGCAGCUUAUUAAUUGUACUUUUUCUUGCUUUAAAAAAAAAAACUCCCCCCUCACAAAACCUUAACCCCUACAGGUUUCUGGCUAUAAUACUGGUCCAAACUCAUCACAUCUUCCCUAGAAGGACUUCAGUAGAUUUCAGCUUGAAUAGAAAAUUCUUGAUUCUGGCUUUCAAAGUAGCUGGUUACCUUAGCUGUAGUGUGUGCAGGAAGAACUGAGGACAGCUGUGCAUUUCCUUCCUACUGUUGUCUUCGUUUUAUUCAGGCUCUUGCCAUUUUAUCUCCUCCUCCUCCUCCUCCUCCUAGCAUGUUUUAGAAAUGUUGGCUUUCAGCAAAAUAUGCACAUACUUGGAAUGGACCCCUUGCCACCUCCUCAAAACACAUCUAAUGCAUGCGAUAGAAAAGAGACAGUUGAAACGGCAGAGGGCAAGGGAGAGGGGAAUAAAGGGGGAAAAAAAAAAGAUGCUGCCUAACA